rnacentral:lncRNA from 1 species
GAUCCCAGUGCCCAAAACAACCAGAACACUCACACCAGUGGCUCAUUUGCACCUGAAUCGAACUCUUGUUUCAACAACCAGACACCCUGGUUGAGUCCUCAAACUUUUGGGACAGAUCAGACCCCUAUCAUGGUUCCAUCACAGCCCUAUUCACAACCCAUGGUGGGGUAUGUGGGUGACCCUUACACCAGUGGUUCUCCUUCGAAUAACAUCACAGCCACUCAUAACCAUAACAAUAAUAACCCUUACCAACCAGGCACGGACCAAUACCACAUGUUGGAA